rnacentral:rRNA from 1 species
UACGUAGGGUGCAAGCGUUGUCCGGAAUUAUUGGGCGUAAAGAGCUCGUAGGCGGUUCGGUAAGUCGGGUGUGAAAACUCUGGGCUCAACCCGGAGACGCCACCCGAUACUGCUGUGACUUGAGUCUGGUAGGGGAGCACGGAAUUCCUGGUGUAGCGGUGAAAUGCACAGAUAUCAGGAGGAACACCGGUGGCGAAGGCGGUGCUCUGGGCCAGUACUGACGCUGAGGAGCGAAAGCGUGGGUAGCGAACAGG